ACCAUUUUUCUUUAUAAAGCACCUAUUCUCUGGUAUUCUGUUGUAGAACUAUAGAACCAACUGAGACACUCGCUUUGGUGUACUGAAUCAGAGAGAAAGAAAUAACCCUUCUUUCAAAGGCUGAAAUAGUAUUGAUUGCCAAAUAGAAAAGAAAUAUAUGGUUUUAGCUGAUUAAGAUGUUAUUUUACUCCCACUUCUGGCCAUCACUUGCACCAAAACAGCUAUCUGUGGAGAACAACUAGGGCGAUUGGAAUCCACAAGUGGCAGCUAGACUCUGAGAGGCUAAGCAGAGAUUUCUAUGAAGAAUCGAGGACCAGGGAAAGUACAGGUCUAUUGCUGAGCACCCUACCCAUACAGUUGUGAUCCCUUCAGGAACACAGUUGCCAGACAUACCGGAAAAGGAGACCAAAUGAACAAGGACUCGAUGGAAAAUCAGGCAACAGGUAAU